AUGCCAGCAACCAUGGCCGGCAUCAUGCGGGCCAUCUUGGCCUGCGUCCCCGCCGCGCCAUCCUCCACCGGCGACGGCUCCCUCUCCGCUGCCUUCUCCUCGACCUGCCCCGGCGGCGGCGGCGAGGAUCGCAUCAGCCGCCUCCCGGACGCGCUGCUCGCCGACAUCGUCUCCCGCCUCCCCGUCAAGGAAGCCGCGCGCACCGCAGCGAUCUCCCCGCGCUGGCGCCGCCUACGGCCAUCGACGCCUCUUGUCCUCGACGACACCGACAUCUUCGAUGACUUCGCCGAAGCCGACGACGACGACGACGGCGACACCUUUGGCCUCAUCGACUGGCGCGCCCUCACCAAUACCCUCUCCCGCAUCCUCUCCGGCCACCCGGGACCCUUCCGCUGCGUCCACCUCACCACGGCUUGCAACUACGCGUCCGCUCGCGGCGGCAGUGCGCUCGUCCGCUGGCUCCACCUCUUCGCCGCCAAGUCCAUCCAGGAGCUCGUCCUCAUCAACUUCCCCAACUGGCCCUUCAAGAACACCCUCCCUGCGGAGAUCCUCCGCGUCGCCUCCCUCCGCCGCCUGUACCUCGGCCUCUGGGACAAGUUCCCGGACACAAAUGACCUUCCCAGCGGCGCCCACGUCUUCCCGCACCUCGCCGAGCUCGGCUUCUGCAAAACCGACAUCAAGACCAAGGACCUGGACCGCCUACUUCAGUGCAGCCCCGUCCUGGAGAAGCUCGCGCUCAUCCUCUGCUACGACACGCCGCGCAACGUCCGCGUCCGCAGCCGCAGCAUCCGCUGUGUGCUCUUCUGGAUGUCCCUCGCGGACGCGCUAGCCGUGGUCGUCGCCCCGUGUCUCGAGCGCCUCAUCCUGUGGAACGACUGCCCUGGUGCCUGGCUCGGCAAGGACUUUCGCACCAGAGUCAAGAUUGGCUACGCGCCGGAGCUCAAGGUGCUCGGCUACUUGGAGCCAAGCUUCCAUGUGCUCGAGAUCGGCAACACCGUCAUCGAGUUUGGCACAAGGCCCAGCCCCACCACCACCAUUCCAAGUGUCAAGAUCCUGGCAUUAAGGGUGCGAUUUGGAGUGCGCAAAGAGGCUAAGAUGCUGCCUACCUUCCUCAGAUGCUUCCCCAAUGUCGAGACAUUGCAUGUCAUGUCUGCUGAAGCUGAUGAGCCCACUGGCAAGCUGAAUUUCAAGUUCUGGCAUGAUGUCGGACCCAUCAAAUGCCUGCAGUCACACACCAAGAAGGUGGUGUUCAAGAACUUCCGAGGGAACCGGAGCGAGGUCGUGUUCCUCAGGUUUGUCAUGGAGAGAGCACAGCUUCUGCAAAAAAUGGUGGUCGUGUUGGCAGAUGGAGACCCUGCUUCAGAGGAGAGGGUGGCGGCCAAGCUGAAAACUUUGGCUUGCAGCACCAAGCGUGCCAGCAGAGACUCAAAAUUCUCAAUCUUGGUGCGCAGCAGUGGGGGCAGUGAUUGGAGCUUCCGCGCAGCGUCCAAUCUCUCCAAGAGUGACCCAUUUGAUAGCUGA
rnacentral:rRNA from 1 species